rnacentral:rRNA from 1 species
AACGCUAGCGAUAGGCUUAACACAUGCAAGUCGAGGGGUAACGUGUUGGAAGCUUGCUUCCGAUGACGACGACCGGCGGAUGGGUGCGUAACGCGUAUGCAACUUGCCUCACAGUGGAGAAUAACCCGGAGAAAUCCGGACUAAUACUCCAUACACUCUUAAGUACGCCUGUACAUGAGAGGAAAGAUUUAUCGCUGUGAGAUAGGCAUGCGUCCUAUUAGGUAGUUGGUGAGGUAACGGCUCACCAAGCCGACGAUAGGUAGGGGUGCUGAGAGGCAGAUCCCCCACUUUGGGACUGAGACACGGCCCAAACUCCUACGGGAGGCAGCAGUGAGGAAUAUUGGUCAAUGGAGGAAACUCUGAACCAGCCAAGUCGCGUGAAGGAAGAAUGUCCUAAGGAUUGUAAACUUCUUUAGCGAGCGAGUAAGGACUUCCACGUGAUGGGAGUUUGAAAGUAGCUCGAGAAUAAGUAUCGGCUAUCUCCGUG